UACGGGGGGGGUAAGCGUUGUUCGGAAUUACUGGGCGUAAAGGGCUCGUAGGCGGCCAACUAAGUCAUACGUGAAAUCCCUCAGCUUAACUGGGGAACUGCGUGUGAUACUGGAUGGCUUGGAUUUGGGAGAGGGAUGCGGAAUUCCAGGUGUAGCGGUGAAAUGCGUAGAUAUCUGGAGGAAUACCGGUGGCGAAGGCGGCAUCCUGGACCGACAUUGACGCUGAACGGCGAAAGCUAGGGGAGCAAACGGG
rnacentral:rRNA from 1 species